UACGAAGGGGGCUAGCGUUGUUCGGAAUUACUGGGCGUAAAGCGUGCGCAGGCGGCUUUCUCAAGUCAGGGGUGAAAGCCCAGAGCUCAACUCUGGAAUUGCCUUUGAGACUGAGUGGCUUUGAGUACGGGAGAGGUGAGUGGAAUUCCCAGUGUAGAGGUGAAAUUCGUAGAUAUUGGGAAGAACACCGGUGGCGAAGGCGGCUCACUGGCCCGUAACUGACGCUCAUGCACGCAGCGUGGGGAUCAAACAGG
rnacentral:rRNA from 1 species